rnacentral:lncRNA from 1 species
AAAAGUGCCCUGCCCUCCACUGGCACCCUGCCCCUUUUGAUUUCUAGCUAGAGCACUGCAUAGUAUAUAUUUGGAAAAGACUGUAUAGUAUAUUGUAGGAAAAGACUAUCAGUAACAACAUUUAAUUAAAGUUUUUAGCACAAUAUUAUACUUCUAUUUAUAGAAUAGUAUUUUACUCCCAAAUGGGCCAAUGGUUUAAGAACAAAAC